rnacentral:rRNA from 1 species
GACGAACGCUGGCGGCGUGCUUAACACAUGCAAGUCGAACGGAAAGGCCCUGCUUUUGUGGUGUGCUCGAGUGGCGAAAGGGUGAGUAACACGUGAGUAACCUGCCCUUGACUUUGGGAUAACUUCAGGAAACUGGAGCUAAUACCGGAUAUGAGCUCCUGCUGCAUGGUGGGGGUUGGAAAGUUUCGGCGGUUGGGGAUGGACUCGCGGCUUAUCAGCUUGUUGGUGGGGUAGUGGCUUACCAAGGCUUUGACGGGUAGCCGGCCUGAGAGGGUGACCGGCCACAUUGGGACUGAGAUACGGCCCAGACUCCUACGGGAGGCAGCAGUGGGGAAUAUUGCACAAUGGGCGGAAGCCUGAUGCAGCAACGCCGCGUGCGGGAUGACGGCCUUCGGGUUGUAAACCGCUUUCGCCUGUGACGAAGCGUGAGUGACGGUAAUGGGUAAAGAAGCACCGGCUAACUACGUG